rnacentral:SRP_RNA from 1 species
CCAUACCGGCCGGGGAGAUAGCGGUGCCCUGAACCUGCAAUCCGCUACAGCAGGGGUGGUUUCCUCUUUAGAGGGCUGUUUUAGUGUGGUCUGUGCCGAGGCGUAAUAUGUUGAAGGAUGGGUCUUUCGCAAUUGUAUGCCGUGAACCAUGUCAGGUGGGGAACCAAGCAGCAUUAAGCGGAAGUUAUGAUGUGCCGAAAGGGUUCCUAUCCGGAGUAUUCAAAUCGGUCAACGCACAUUAGGGCAGUUCGACUUUGAGGUGUAUGG